AAUUCCACAAUGUUCCAGUUGAAAGAAUAUCAUUUUGUCCAUUAAAUUAACUGGAAGGAAAGAGAAGUAAUUAUUAGCUCCUGACUUUUUUUUUAUUUGGUGAUUAAUCUUAUAUAUAGAAAACUCCCAUGUACAAAUGUAUAAAAAGAAUGUUCAUGCAACAGCUCUGACUUAUCAAACAAAAAGAGGAAAUAUAACAUUGAUGAAAUUUCUCUAGUGCUUAUUUCGGAAAGUGUCAAUCUCCUGAACUUUAUAUUUGCGUUCUCGAUGCCUUUGUAUACUGAUCUAUAUUCACUUGCACAUAUUCUGUUUGCUGAAAUAAUUUGCAGAACUUAGCUGAAAUAAUUCUCUCUCUCUUCACCAAGCUCAAAGAAAAAGAAAAAAAGAGAGAAAAGUUACUAAUUACUCUGAGCACUGAAUGGGACACUUAUGAGUAAUAUGAUUGGAGGCCAGCAGUUCAUCCCCUAGUCGGGUAAUGCUAAUUCUUUUUUGGCCUUGUGAUAUCUCUCAGUAACUUACACAAUCCCAUAUCUUCUGGUUGCAGGGAUGCUAAUAUGCUUUCCUAUCAGUCAUGCUUGAAACUCUGAUUUCCUGUUAAUGCUUAGCAUCAGGAAAUUGGAUUGUUUAACUACAUCUAAUUUGUUUGCUGAAACUGCUUAC
rnacentral:lncRNA from 1 species